AUGUCUCCUUCGAAAUCUCCACACCCUUCCCCAUCCCACCAUCCCUCGAUAGAUCUGGCGAGCCAUGGCGAACGGCGGUGCGUAGACGGAGGAAGCAACAUCCUGCGUCCACAUCAUGGGGACAACGUCGGUCAAGCGGCGAGGCUGGGGAUGGGAAGAGAGCGCACACAGGUGGAGGCGGCGGCAGGGGCGCCUACUCACAAGUGGACGAUGUCGGAGGAACUCGCGACGAGGCAGGAGGACAGGGAAAAGGAGAGGCAGCGGCGCGCAAGCUCGAGGCGUACAAGAUGGACAAGCUCGCCGGUAUCGUUAUCAAGUACGACGUAUGCUGGAGCCCAGGAGCCAGACGCCACCGUUGAUGACGACUACUACUACUCGGGAGGUGCCUACUACUACGUGCUGCCCGCUGACGACGACCAGGAGUAG
rnacentral:rRNA from 1 species